rnacentral:rRNA from 1 species
AUGAGCUGCAACGGGUGCCGCGUGCUGCGCAAGGGGUGCAGCGACGCCUGCGUGCUGCGGCCCAGCAUCGAGUGGAUCGACGGCGCCCAGCCGCAGGCCAACGCCACCGUCUUCGUCGCCAAGUUCUUCGGCCGUGCCGGCCUCGUCGCCUCCCUCGCCGCCGUCCCGCUCCACCACCGCCCAGCCUUGUUCCGGUCGCUUCUGUACGAGGCGUGUGGCCGGACGAUCAACCCGGUGAGCGGCGCCAUCGGGCUCAUGUGGACCAGCAACUGGGACCUCUGCCAGGCCGCCGCCGACGCCGUGCUGCGCGGCGACUCCCUGCGCUCGCUCUCCGCCGUGCCCGCCGCCUUCACGGAACGCGACAUGGCCGGCCUCUACGGCAACGUCGGCACAAACACCGGCAGCUCCUCCUCCCUCCACUCCUCGCCGGAGAACUCCACGUCCGCGCCCGCCAGGAAGCGGAGCAAGAACAACCCUGGCUGCGGCGCCGCAGGAGGGCAGCAGGUGAAGCUGCCGGGGCCGGUGCUGCCGUCGUGCGAUCUGGACCUCUGCCUGACGCCCUUGUCGUCGCCGCUGGCCGGCGGGAGGCGAGGCGGCGCGUCAGACGAGUACUCCACCACGACGUGCUGCGAGGACGCCAGCGGCGACGCGGCGGAGGCCGGGGCGCCCCCGCUGCUGAACCUCUUCAACUGA